AAUAGAUACCCGGGUAGUCCACGCCGUAAACGAUGGACACUAGGUGUGGGGGGUAUCGACCCCCUCCGUGCCGCAGCUAACGCAAUAAGUGUCCCGCCUGGGGAGUACGGCCGCAAGGCUAAAACUCAAAGGAAUUGACGGGGGCUCACACAAGCGGUGGAGCAUGUGGCUUAAUUCGAAGCAACGCGAAGAACCUUACCUGGGUUUGACAUGCAUGGAUUAGUUCUUGGAAACAGGAAUGACGCCCUCUGGGUGGAACAUGCACAGGUGCUGCAUGGCUGUCGUCAGCUCGUGCUGUGAAGUGUCGGGUUAGGUCCCUUAACGAGCGCAACCCCUGUCGUCAGUUGCUCACGCGUAAUGGCGAGGACUCUGGCGAGACUGCCGGUGUCAAACCGGAGGAAGGUGGGGAUGACGUCAAGUCCGCAUGGCCCUUAUGUCCAGGGUUGCACACGUGCUACAAUGGCGCGCACAAAGCGAAGCAAGGCCGCGAGGCGGAGCAAAUCGCAAAAACGCGCCCCAGUUCGG
rnacentral:rRNA from 1 species